rnacentral:rRNA from 1 species
AUUGAACGCUGGCGGCAGGCUUAACACAUGCAAGUCGAGCGGGGUGAUGGUGCUUGCACUAUCACUUAGCGGCGGACGGGUGAGUAAUGCUUAGGAAUCUGCCUAUUAGUGGGGGACAACAUCUCGAAAGGAAUGCUAAUACCGCAUACGUCCUACGGGAGAAAGCAGGGGAUCACUUGUGACCUUGCGCUAAUAGAUGAGCCUAAGUCGGAUUAGCUAGUUGGUGGGGUAAAGGCCUACCAAGGCGACGAUCUGUAGCGGGUCUGAGAGGAUGAUCCGCCACACUGGGACUGAGACACGGCCCAGACUCCUACGGGAGGCAGCAGUGGGGAAUAUUGGACAAUGGGGGGAACCCCGAUCCAGCCAUGCCGCGUGUGUGAAGAAGGCCUUAUGGUUGUAAAGCACUUUAAGCGAGGAGGAGGCUCUUUUGGUUAAUACCCAAGAUGAGUGGACGUUACUCGCAGAAUAAGCACCGGCUAACUCUGUGCCAGCCGCCGCUGUAA